rnacentral:rRNA from 1 species
GUGGUGUGACUGCGUACCUUUUGUAUAAUGGGUCAGCGACUUAUAUUCUGUAGCAAGGUUAACCGUAUAGGGGAGCCGAAGGGAAACCGAGUCUUAACUGGGCGUUAAGUUGCAGGGUAUAGACCCGAAACCCGGUGAUCUAGCCAUGGGCAGGUUGAAGGUUGGGUAACACUAACUGGAGGACCGAACCGACUAAUGUUGAAAAAUUAGCGGAUGACUUGUGGCUGGGGGUGAAAGGCCAAUCAAACCGGGAGAUAGCUGGUUCUCCCCGAAAGCUAUUUAGGUAGCGCCUCGUGAACUCAUCUUCGGGGGUAGAGCACUGUUUCGGCUAGGGGGCCAUCCCGGCUUACCAACCCGAUGCAAACUACGAAUACCGAAGAAUGUUAUCACGGGAGACACACGGCGGGUGCUAACGUCCGUCGUGAAGAGGGAAACAACCCAGACCGCCAGCUAAGGUCCCAAAGUCAUGGUUAAGUGGGAAACGAUGUGGGAAGGCACAGACAGCCAGGAUGUUGGCUUAGAAGCAGCCAUCAUUUAAAGAAAGCGUAAUAGCUCACUGGUCGAGUCGGCCUGCGCGGAAGAUGUAACGGGGCUAAACCAUGCACCGAAGCUGCGGCAGCGACGCUUAUGCGUUGUUGGGUAGGGGAGCGUUCUGUAAGCCGUUGAAGGUGUGCUGUGAGGCAUGCUGGAGGUAUCAGAAGUGCGAAUGCUGACAUAAGUAACGAUAAAGCGGGUGAAAAGCCCGCUCGCCGGAAGACCAAGGGUUCCUGUCCAACGUUAAUCGGGGCAGGGUGAGUCGACCCCUAAGGCGAGGCCGAAAGGCGUAGUCGAUGGGAAACAGGUUAAUAUUCCUGUACUUGGUGUUACUGCGAAGGGGGGACGGAGAAGGCUAUGUUAGCCGGGCGACGGUUGUCCCGGUUUAAGCAUGUAGGCGGAGGUUCCAGGUAAAUCCGGUACCUU